rnacentral:rRNA from 1 species
UACAGAGGGUGCAAGCGUUAAUCGGAAUUACUGGGCGUAGAGCGCGCGUAGGUGGUUUGUUAAGUUGGAUGUGAAAUCCCCGGGCUCAACCUGGGAACUGCAUCCAAAACUGGCAAGCUAGAGUAUGGUAGAGGGUGGUGGAAUUUCCUGUGUAGCGGUGAAAUUCGUAGAUAUCGGGAGGAACACCAGUGGCGAAGGCGGCGAUCUGGGAAGAUACUGACGCUGAGGUGCGAAAGCGUGGGGAGCGAACAGG